UUACCGAACAUUAAAUAAUUUGAUGGUGACCAACAAAUGUCUACAAUAAUGGUCAAGAAUCUUCUAAUCAUAUCUAUUUAAAUGCACAUAAAUGAAUCUAAAGCAAAAUUAAUUAGCUAAGCAAAUGCUUAGUCAUUUCCUAAUAGCUAGUGGAAUACUUGUUACAAUUUGAUAGCCGCCGCUAAGGGUACAUAUUUAUGUAUUUAGUCCACACAGCAUACAAAGCCAUUCAUAUAGUUCAAAAACAAUUAAAUUUUUGGUGCACUAUACUCUCAAAAAAUGACUCGUAGUAGAAAGUUAAUCGCUUACCCGUAUUAUUCUCCACCGCCUCCAUCUCCGCCCCCUCCCACCCCACCUCCGCC
rnacentral:lncRNA from 1 species